UGCUUACACAUGCAGUUGACGAAGAUAAUAAUUCAUUGAAUUAUAAUACUUAGUAGCGGACGGGUGAGUAACGCGUAAGAAUCUACCUUUAGGAAAAGGAUAACAACUGGAAACGGUUGCUAAUACUUUAUAUGCUGAGAAGUUAAAUAGGUUACUGCCUAAAGAUGAGCUUGCGUCUGAUUAGCUAGUUGGUAAGGUAAAAGCUUACCAAGGCAAUUAUCAGUAGUUGGUCUGAGAGGAUGAUCAGCCACACUGGGACUGAGACACGGCCCAGACUCCUACGGGAGGCAGCAGUGAGGAAUUUUUCGCAAUGGGCGCAAGCCUGACGAAGCAAUACCGCGUGAAGGAUGAAGGCCUGCGGGUUGUAAACUUCUUUUAUUAGAGAAGAUAAUGACGGUAUCUAAUGAAUAAGCAUCGGCUAAAUAUGUGCCAGCAGCCGCGGUAAGACAUAUGAUGCAAGCGUUAUCCGGAAUGAUUGGGCGUAAAGCGUCUGUAGGUUGUUUAAAAAGUCAACUGUCAAAAACUAAAGCUCAACUUUAGGCAGGCAGUUGAAACUUUUAGACUAGAGUAUGGCAGAGGUAGAGGGAAUUACUGGUGUAACGGUGAAAUGUGCAGAUAUCAGUAAGAACACCAAUGGCGAAAGCACUCUACUGGACCAAAACUGACACUCAGAGACGAAAGCUAGGGGAGCGAAUAGGAUUAGAUACCCUAGUAG
rnacentral:rRNA from 1 species